CUGUGCCUAUAUAUUAUUCACACACACAUACACACACANCUCUCUCUCUCUCUCUCUCUCUCUCUCUCUCUCUCUCUCUCUCUCUCUCUCUCUCUCUUGUUCUAGAUCUCAUCAGGUUUUUUCUGGUUAUUUUGUAGCUUCUACGAUCUUGUAACAUGUUUUUAUAUACGUCAUACCUUUCAUUUUUGCAAAUCAAUAAUAGAAAUAUGUGGUUUUGUCUCAUUUUACUAUUUUAGCAGUAUAUAUUACCAAGUUCAGAGAGUGUUCAGUAUUUUUCUUCUUCCCCGCUCUUAUCUCUAUCUGUUAGGGUUUCACUUCUUUUACAGGUUUGUAUGGUUAGGUUCCAACUAAGUAGAAGAGAAUACGUAGAAUUGUACCAAUCACAACUUGUCAUCUCGACUAUUCCGCCAUGUUACCCCUCCCCACAUAUGUAUAAUAGAUACAUAGAUAAAUUUUAUAUUAUAUACAUAUAUAUAUAUAUACGAGUUUCUAUAAAUUAUGAAGGAUAAGUAUUUAAAUAUAUUUAGAGGAUAUGUAAGUAGUGAGUUGGAGUUAUGAGUUUGAGUUUGAUUUGAGAGACAAAAGAUUGCUACAUGAAGAUGAAAGACUAUUUCCGAAGCCGCGCGCGGUCGUUGUUUGCUGCUGUGGCAUCAUCAAGAUUCACAUCUCUGUUGAUGGACGGUGGUGAUUCACUCGAUCCCCAAAUUUGUCUCUGUGAAAAAUGAGAAUCUUGAUGAUGCUGCAUCGGCAAACAAGGACUAUUAUUUUUGCCCUUUCUGUAUUCCAUCCAAGAUUUUCUUCAGUCUUUUUCAACCCAAUACAUGAAUGGAUCCAAAAGCUUCUCUUUCAAUAGAUGAACAAGAGUCACAAUAUCAUCAAAAGGACUAACUAAGGUAACUAUGACAUAUCCCUAUACAAUUUUCUCUUGUUGGCAAAAUUUCAGCUUGCACUUUCACAACACAAUAUCCUUUUCUUUCUUUUGGGAAUAAUUAAAAAAAUGGAUAUCAUGGAAGUUGAUGAGAUAAUGAAAGGGUCAAGAUGGAACUAUUGAUGUCUAGCAGCAAAGAAAGGUUUUCAGGACAAACUGUCAGUUCUCUUUGUGUUGUUGGUUUAUUGUUGGCUAUUACAUUCAAAAUGAGAAUCAAUUAGGAACUUGUUGGGUGGACCUUACACAUUGUAGACUAGGCAUACGUCUCAGUCCCACCUAUUUGUGUCCCCUCUAUGUACAUGUUUAGGUGUUCUUGUAACUGCAAUACUACUGAUGAACAAUGAAGCAAAAAUUACUCUCAUUUUUU